UCCUCUUCCUUCUUUGUCGCUCUGGUUGGUUGUUGCGCUAUUCUAUCACGUGCAGAGGGAAUUUAAUAGACAACCGUUUAUCCAGCCCCUCGGAAUGAGCCCUGCCAAUGGCGAGUUCCUAGACCCAACAUCUGGAUGUGGAUCUGGCUUGUCUAGUAAACGU